rnacentral:rRNA from 1 species
CCCUUACUGCUCAGUAACACGUGGCUAAUCUACCGUAAAGAGGAGGAUAUCCUUGGGAAACUGAGGUUAAUACUCCAUAUGCUAUUGCACCUGGAAGGAGCAAUAACAGAAAGGAGCGCGAAUUGCAGCGCCACCGCUUUACGAUGAGGCCGCGGCGGAUCAGGCAGAUGGCGGGGUAACGGCCCACCAUACCAAUAACCCGUAGGGGAUGUGAGAGCAUGAGCCCCGAGAAGGGCACUGAGACAAGGGCCCUAGCGCUACGGCGUGCAGCAGGCGCGCAAACUCCACAAUGCGCGGAAGCGUGAUGGGGGGAACCUGAGUGGUCGACAUAAGUCGACCUUUUGCCAAGUACAGCAAGCUUGGCGAAUAAGUGCUGGGCAAGACCGGUGGCAGCCGCCACGGUAAUACCGGCAGCACAAGUGGUAUCCACGAUUAUUGGGCUUAAAGCGCCCGUAGCUGGCCGAUGCCGUCUCGCGUGAAAUAUUGGCGCCCAACGUCAAUGCGUGCGCGGGAUACCCAUCGGCUAGGGAGUGGGUUGGGUCAGGAGUACUUAUUGGGGAGGGGCUAAAUCCUAUAAUCCUAUAAGGAUUAACAGUGGCGAAGGCGCCUGACCAGAACACAUCCGACAGUGAGGGACGAAGGCUAGGAGAACGAAUCGGAUCAGAUA